GCAUAUCAAUAAGCGAGGAAAAGAAACUAACGAGGGAUUUCCCCUAGUAACUGCGAGUGAAGCGGGGAAAAGCUCAAAUUUAAAAUCUGGCGGUCUUUGGCCGUCCGAGUUGUAGUCUGGAGAAGCGUCUUCUACGCCGGACCGUGUACAAGUCCCUUGGAACAGGGCGUCAUAGAGGGUGAGAAUCCCGUCCAUGACACGGACCGCCGGUGGUUUGUGAUGCGCUCUCGAAGAGUCGAGUUGUUUGGGAAUGCAGCUCAAAAUGGGUGGUAAAUUCCAUCUAAAGCUAAAUACUGGCGAGAGACCGAUAGCGAACAAGUACCGUGAGGGAAAGAUGAAAAGCACUUUGGAAAGAGAGUUAAACAGUACGUGAAAUUGCUGAAAGGGAAACGCUUGAAGUCAGUCGCGUCGGCCGGGGCUCAGCCUUGCAUUCGUUUGCUCGGUUUACUUCCCGGUCGACGGGCCAGCGUCGAUUUUGACCGUCGGAGAAGGGCCAGAGGAAAGUGGCACCUUCGGGUGUGUUAUAGCCUUCGGUCGCAUACGACGGUUGGGAUCGAGGAACGCAGCACGCCUUCAAUGGCCGGGGCAUUCGUGCCCACGCAUCGUGCUUAGGAUGCUGGCGUAAUGGCUUUAAACGACCCGUCUUGAAACACGGACCAAGGAGUCUAACGUGCCUGCGAGUGUUUGGGUGGAAAACCCGAGCGCGCAAUGAAAGUGAAAGUCGAGAUCUCUGUCAUGGAGAGCAUCGACGCCCGGACCUGAGCUGCUUGCGAGGGGAUCUGCGGUAGAGCACGCACGUUGGGGACCCGAAAGAUGGUGAACUAUGCCUGAAUAGGGGUGAAGCCAGAGGAAACUCUGGUGGAGGCUCGUAGCGAUUUCUGACGUGCAAAUCGAUCGUCGAAAUUUGGGGUAUAGGGGCGAAAAGACUAAUCGAAACUCAUCUAGUAGCUGGGUUCUGCGA
rnacentral:rRNA from 1 species